UACAGAGGUGGCAAGCGUUGUUCGGAAUUACUGGGCGUAAAGGGCGCGUAGGCGGUCUUGUAAGUCUUGUGUGAAAUCCCUCGGCUUAACUGAGGAACUGCACAGGAUACUGCGAGACUUGAAUUCGGGAGAGGGAAGCGGAAUUCCGGGUGUAGCGGUGAAAUGCGUAGAUAUCCGGAGGAACACCGGUGGCGAAGGCGGCUUCCUGGACCGUUAUUGACGCUGAGGCGCGAAAGCUAGGGGAGCAAACGGG
rnacentral:rRNA from 1 species